GCACUGAUGGUUCAGUAGUAGAACUCUCGCCUCCCUCUGUGGAGACCUGGGUUUGAUUCCCAGCCAACGCA
rnacentral:tRNA from 1 species